rnacentral:lncRNA from 1 species
GCUUAGCUCAGCUGCUGCUUACUGUGCCUCGGGCCGACUGAAGGCAGCCGCUCCAGCAAGUUUCUCAGAGGCACACCUGCGCUACCAGAGCUCACAUCGGUGGGAUGGUGGGCUAGCACACACCUGCAGAGUUCUGUCACAUUUUGUGUCACCAAUUCCAGGUGUUCUGCUUAUCAAAGUCGCUGUAAUGGGGGAACAUCGGACAUUUCAGUGAGAGAAAAUGGGGUCUCCAUGUUUAGCUCAACAGGCAGCAUGAUAUGUUCAUAUACAGUCAUUCUAGAUGUGCAGAAGAAGAAAUACCUCAAGAAGACACAGCAGGAGGGCGGUCAUCUGCAAGCCAAAGGGAGGUUCAGAAGAAACCACCUGAGUCUUGGCUUUAGAUUUCUAGCCAGCAGAACUGUAAGAAAAUAAAUUUCUGUAACUGC